rnacentral:lncRNA from 1 species
CCACAUGGUCCAGACACCACCUUUAACAAGUGGGAAUAUACCCUCAACUAUGAUGGGCUCCUCUUCGCUGCCAGGGCAACCUUAUGCUGCACAGCCUACUCAUUCUCUCCCUCUCUUUCUUUGUGUGUGUGUUGAAAGGAAAGGAUGGAGGCUUUUCGAGUGGUUCUCACGUUGGUUGUGUUGAUAGCUGUUUGUGAAUGUGGGGUGACGGGCAUGGAAUCCGAGGCCGGCCGAGGUAUUUUACAUCACCAGAAAAAAAGAAAAGGAAAGAAAAUCUACUUUGCGAAAAGGAACAUAGAAAAUAAUGAGGAAAACCCUCUGGCAAAUGAGAACCCUAGUAUUUCAAAUCAGUUUUUAGAAAUCACUUGAUUAAUUUAGUACUCGCCUUAGACAGAACAGAUUCUAUAGCAAAAACCCUGGAAUUGCUUGGGUCUCUCGGUUUUUCACAAGUUUUCAUCUUAUUCAAAAUUCUACAGUCCGACUCAAGCUCGGGACCCUGGUGAAUUCGUGUUAGGGCCGAACUUUUGUUAACUGUCUCAAAAAUAGGGUUAAAGAUGUUUCAGUUUGAAUGGAUUAGUUGUUUUUUUGGUAAGACAUUUGUGGGAUUUAAACAUGACUUAGUGUUGCAAUUGUCAAUAAAAUGGCCUGACUACUAAUUAGGGUUGGGCUUGAUUAGCUACUCAUUGAUGAUUGUAGCAACAUGGCUCAAGUUUGAUUUAUUCUGCUAAAUAUGGUCUCCCACCCUACCAUUAAGGGAAAAAAAAAAAAAUUGAACAAGAAAAAAACAUUGUUUGAAUCCCACUAUGCUUUUCUUGAUAUUAGUUUGUUGGGGAAUUGUACCAUACACCGACGAAACAUAUUGAGAAAAAAAAAAGGAAAAAUGUUAAGGCUCUGUAGCCUGCAUGGGCUUUUCAGGACUAACUUGAAGGUUGAAACGGUUGAACUCCCUGACUCAAAUUAAUAUGUCUAUCACUGUGCGAAAGCCGAAGGAGACAUGAAUAGUUCUUACAGUGUUCAACUCCUCGGGCAAGCCAACCUGAACGCGCUUGAGUAACUCGGGCUCGGAACCUCCAACGGGGCUGAAUAUCCCGAUUAGUUGGAAAACAAAAUAAAUAAAUAAAUAAAUAAAUAAAAAUAUAUAUAUAUAUAUAUAAUACAAAAUUAUUUAAAUUAUUUUUUUAUAUUUUCUGUCAUUAUGGUAAAGAUUGAAAAAUCUUCUGGCAAUGAAUUCUUAUUUUUAUAUUUUUUUCUUGUUUUUUUCAUUAUUUUUAAAAUACCACUGUCAUAUUUUCAACAUCAAUUUUUAACUUGAAAUAUAUUUUUUUAUUAUUUAUUUAUUUAUUUUAUUUUUUGGGCCAAGUAACUCGGAACUCGGCACGAGUUACAUUCGCUCCUUGGGCUCGGCCCAUGGCUAUGUUCCGCGUGUCUUGUUUUCCAACACUGGUUCUUACUUUUUUUUUUUUGGGUAGAUCCGUGGGGAGUGCAGGCCCUACCCAUUUUUACAAAUAAUUUAGCAGUUUUCGAAUGCGUCAAUGGGAAUGGAAACCUAGACCGGUAACUGAGGCUCAAGUAGUGCUACCACCAUGACCUCAACCUCAUUCUAAGUUCUUAUUGUUUCAUAUGAUGAAGAAGGCUUAGUGCUUAAACUAAAUAGGUCUUCAUCUCAUCUUUACUAUAGCCUGUGAAGAAGACUUCUCGCUUAAAAUAAAUCCAGUCCUCUCUCUUUGGAUGUUCUUCGAUCCUACAUUCUGGUCCUCGUUUGCAGAAACAUUUUGAUUCCAAGUGUAUUUCUUUGAGCUCUCUAUUCCCU